rnacentral:rRNA from 1 species
CGCUGGCGGCGUGCCUAAUACAUGCAAGUCGAGCGGAAUGAUGAAGAAGCUUGCUUCUUCUGAUUUUAGCGGCGGACGGGUGAGUAACACGUGGGCAACCUACCUUGUAGAUUGGGAUAACUCCGGGAAACCGGGGCUAAUACCGAAUAAUCCAUUUUGCUUCAUGGCGAGAUGUUGAAAGACGGUUUCGGCUGUCACUACAAGAUGGGCCCGCGGCGCAUUAGCUAGUUGGUAGGGUAAUGGCCUACCAAGGCGACGAUGCGUAGCCGACCUGAGAGGGUGAUCGGCCACACUGGGACUGAGACACGGCCCAGACUCCUACGGGAGGCAGCAGUAGGGAAUCUUCCACAAUGGACGAAAGUCUGAUGGAGCAACGCCGCGUGAGUGAAGAAGGUUUUCGGAUCGUAAAACUCUGUUGUAAGGGAAGAACACGUACGAGAGUAACUGCUCGUACCUUGACGGUACCUUAUUAGAAAGCCACGGCUAACUACAUG